AGACACAGAGGAGCAAUGGCUCCAGUACGUAGUCCCCAAGUUUCAGCCCUUGGCCUCAUAAUGUGAUAUCUAACAAACGACUUUUUAAAUUUAAGAAAGCUACAAAGAAACACUACUAAUCGGCACCACUGACAGAGUGUUCAACGAGUUGAGUCGUUACACACAUAUAUAUCGUGUGCUUCUAUAUUAAAUUUAUUUUAACAACAAGAAGCAUUACUUUGUGCGGCAUAUGGCAAUAUGAAGGAAAGGCGAGGUGCGACGGGAGGUAACAACUAACCAACGCCAACGGAUAUAUAGACAUUAGAUGUGCGCACGUGGUACACGCACCCCUUCAUCACAGACCAGUUCCGUCACUCGUGCAAUAACAGCGUUAAGAAUAUCAGCAUUAACAACAACAACAACAACAACAACGAUGUCAGAUGUUUUGUGAAUAGAAGGCAACUGAUUCACUGUCGCUGCGGGACCUGCGAUGGCGGACGUCAAUUACGAACUAUGAAAGUGUCGGGCGACAGCAGUCGGCGUUCUGGCAGUACUCAUAUACCGUCAACUGGGCCGGGGUCGCUUCCAAUACAUCUCUUUUCUCCACUCAAUCCGCCAGGGCAAAUUGCCCCGCAGUCAAUUCGCAGGUAGACAGCAUAUACUACACAGAGGAGAGAACAACCGGCGACUGCUCUAAACGUUGCACGUUCCGUCUGCUACAUCAAAUGAUCGUGCUAGCAUUUAACCCGCCGGUUAAAAUCGUUGACAGAACGAAGUAGGUGCUGCUAGUGGGGUAGACGUCGUCGUGGAACCUGGUCCUUCGCGCAAAUUAAUGACGCAUGUAUGUAGGUGCCGCUGCUAACAACUGAAUAGAUUUCGUCGUUCGUCAUUAUCGAUAUAUCAUAGACGACAGAACAAGCUGCACCGGAAUAUUCGUAUAAGUACACCAACAGAGGCAUACUUCUACAAGCAAGCUCGCAAUAGAGAAUCAAUAGAGCGGGGCAUAACAGUCAGUUGGUUCGGGUUGCCAGGCAAGAUUUUGUCUGCUUCUGCUGUGGAACGUAUCGACCGCGGACGAGCCGAUGACCGCAUGCAUCGCCAUCUUCAGCCGGCUUUAGGGAUACUUCCGGGACAAUUGUCGGCAGCAUCUUCUGAUCAACAGACCAUUCUGAUUCAUUCGCUGCAAUCGGAUCUACAUGAGUGGCUCCUUAGCUGUUUUGCACGUGAUCGAUAUACCCUCGGGAACAUUAUCGUGCAGCGUACACUAAGACAAAGAUCUGAAUCUGAAAGUUUAUAGCGAUUUUCAUAUUACAUUGACGCGUCUUUCAUGUGUCAUGCUGCAAUUUUUUCGCUAUCAUGCCCGUGCGCGCUUGCUCGUACACCUGUAUAAGCAUCCAUACAACUGCGUAUUUUUCGUGCGUCAGUGGUUGGUUGCUCUUGUGCUCGUGUACUUCUAUAUGACGAAGACGACGAAAGUGAAAACUGCCGUCUCUGUUUUAAUGUUUUCUUUAUGGCGAAGCUGCUAUAAACGGAUAUGGACGGAUGCGAUCACCAUCAAACGGUCGACCGCGUUAAUGCUUAAAAAUGACGACGAAAACUGCGCGGCAAUAGUAGCUGUCGUGCCGGCCGAGGAAACUCGGAAGAUAAGAGAUAGAGGAGCACUGGCGGGGUUAGGCUGACCUUGGCCAUUGUCAUCGGGAAAUACCGUCCACACGCAUCCGCUUAUUUGCCUACCCGUCAGUUUAUCGGUUCGAUCAUCAAGUAACGACGAUUCAUCUCUGCUGUGUGACGGGGAAGUUCUUAUGCUUGCUUGUUCUUUCCUCAAUAUGUCUAUUAUUCAUCUGUCUGUGUCCGUGCGUGUUCGCUUCGCUGGGGCGCUUUUGCAACGAUCCCCUGGAUCGAUCUAGCCGU